rnacentral:lncRNA from 1 species
GCUUAGUUAUUUGGCAUUAAGUGUAAUGGGCAGUCCCAGGAGCAUCCCAAGUCUCUCAGUACCCAACUAUGUUGAAAGUCUAUAUCCCAAGCCUCUCAAUACCACCACUAUGUAGAAAGAAACAGCAGCAGCUCCAGCUAGCUGUCUCCCUAUCAUGACUUGAUGCCAUUGGAAAGUUCUGGAUCACCACGACUUACCGAUAUUCAUCAAGAAGCCAGACAGAAAAGCCCUGCUUGUCUAUGUCAAUGUUCUGUCAACAGUAACUUGUCUGUAGUCAUCUAUCUUUUAUGGUUUGAGAUCCCAUUUUCAUACCCAUUGUCUUCAUAACUUUGGGCAAGUUCUUUCCCCCGAGUCUUGAUUUCCUCAUCCAUAAGUUGGACAAAAUAACAGAAAACUCAAAUUCCGUUUAGAAAUAACUCAACUUUGGGCUGGCAGCCAAGGCUCAUGCCUGUAAUCCCAUUGAGGUCAUCUCAUCAAAUACUAUCCCAGUGCAGGGCUUCCUCCCUGACCUUCUGACAGAUGGUGUGCACAUUCAGCCACUACUCCAGCAGCAUCUUUCCUCCAACCUUCCCCUGGUCCUGUGCACAAUCCGCUGCUACCCCACUGAGUCUCUGUAAUGUGAACUACCAUGUGAAGAGGACGCAGCAAGAAGGCAGCCAUCUGCAAGCCGGGAGAAUCCGACCCUGCCAGCACCUUGAUCCUAGACUUCCAGACUACAGAUCUGUGAGGAGUCUCUAUUGCUAGCUGAAGCUUUCACCUUGACUGGGAUUCCACCAUCACCAGGAUUCCUGAUUGCAAAGUGUCAUUU